UGUGAGGUGGCAUAGUGGGUAAGGCACUGGACUCUCAAGCAUGAGAUCCCAAGUUCAAUUCUUGGCAUCACAU
rnacentral:tRNA from 1 species